rnacentral:rRNA from 1 species
UACGGAGGGGACUAGCGUUGUUCGGAAUUACUGGGCGUAAAGCGCACGUAGGCGGAUUGUUAAGUCAGGGGUGAAAUCCCGAGGCUCAACCUCGGAACUGCCUUUUAUACUGGCAAUCUCGAGUCCGGAAGAGGUGAGUGGAAUUCCUAGUGUAGAGGUGAAAUUCGUAGAUAUUAGGAAGAACACCAGUGGCGAAGGCGGCUCACUGGUCCGGUACUGACGCUGAGGUGCGAAAGCGUGGGGAGCAAACGGG